AUAAACUGCGACAUCAUCGUGGAAUCGACAAUUAUCGUGACUCCAGUAUCAUUUCAUCAAUCUCCAAAUGGCAUGACGUAACGCCAAGGUCGGAGAGCAUUCUAAAUCAAGUCUCUAAACAUCGCAGUUGGCCAAUUGCAUCCACCGGACUUAGAGGAGGAGACACCCUCCAUGAUCCAUUUUCGACGAAAAGAUCAUGCACCCCAAAAGCUUGGACGAAAAAAUUACGACUGAUCAUGAAUUGUUAGUCUUAAAAGCUGCGCGGCAGUUCAAAUUCCUCCUCGGAGAAGUGUAUUUGAUGACAGACCGAAUAAACUGGCCUUUGGUGCCACUAGUGUUACUACAGCAUAUUUUGCAGAUAACAUAUGGGAUUCUACAAUUAACAGAUGCCACCAAUACGCAUUCGUCUAUGUUGUCGGUUGGUGCUCUUACUCGUAAAAUGCAUUGCCUAGUAGCGCCGAUAGGCUACACGAUUUUUGCAAUUUCUUGGCGGAAGACUAACAUGAUGCUUGAAAUUGCCGAAGAGGUCAACAAAGUUUUGCUAACCGACCAGUUCCCCAUUUCAAGUUCUUUACGUGCGGCAAUCAUCUCAGACUUGGAGAAUCGUCAUCGGGUAAUCUUCAUCUGUGUAAUGUCAGGUGCACAUCUCAUAGUUUUGUUCUACUUCGUACCUCCUGUCCUCAAAUUCCUGGCCAGCGCUCCGCCUUCGCGACAGCUUGACCUUCCGCUGAAUUUGCCGGAUCCGAUCUCUCUCCUCGGGUUCACACCCACUGACGUCAGUCGUGCAAUAUUCUAUUUAGUUGCCAUGCUCUCUAAUAUGGCUCAUUUCUACAUCGUUUACCUUGCGAAAUCGCUCACCUUCGUCAUUAUGGAUUCCUUGAAGACAGCAUUUUUCAUCUGCGGACAAAGUUUACAGACCCUUGGCCAUGAAGGAUUCUUGGAUACGGAACAAUUUUUGAACGCUGUUGAGCUCCAUCAACGUUUGUUCAGAUUAUCCUCAAAAGUGAGGAACGUCGUUGAACCCUACUUCAUAGUGAGCUUGACAGCGUCAAUAUUCUACAAUACAACCUGUGCAUUAGCAAUUACUCAUCAGGCACUAAUGUUUUUGAAAUGUUUUUCAAUUUUUCUGAACUGUCCAGGAAUUUGA
rnacentral:lncRNA from 1 species